AGCGUAUAUUAAAGUUGUUGCAGUUAAAAAGCUCGUAGUUGAAUUUCGGGAUCAAUACGUCGGUCGUGCCUCGGUACGUACUGGCGUCAUUGAUUUCUCCCUUCUGAAGAACCUUGAUGCCAUUAACUUGGUGUCAUGGGAAAUCAGGACUGUUACUUUGAAAAAAUUAGAGUGUUUAUAGCAGGCUCACGCUUGAAUACAUUAGCAUGGAAUAAUGAAAUAGGACGUUCGACCCUAUUUUGUUGGUUACUAGGAUCAACGUAAUGAUUAAUAGGGAUAGUUGGGGGCAUUAGUAUUCAAUUGUCAGAGGUGAAAUUCUUGGAUUUAUUGAAGACUAACUACUGCGAAAGCAUUUGCCAAGGAUGUUUUCAUUAAUCAAGAACGAAAGUUAGGGGAUCGAAGACGAUCAGAUACCGUCGUAGUCUUAACCAUAAAC
rnacentral:rRNA from 1 species